rnacentral:rRNA from 1 species
AGGACGAACGCUGGCGGCGUGCUUAACACAUGCAAGUGGAGCGACGAACCAGGGCUUGCCCUGGGGCAGAGCCGCGAACGGGUGAGUAACACGUGGGUUACCUGCCUUGAUGACCGGGACAACCCGAGGAAAACUCGGGCUAAUACCGGAUGUGCCCGCAAGGGAAAAGGAAGCUUCGGCCUCCGCAUCAAGAUGGGCCCGCGGCCCAUUAGCUAGUUGGUGAGGUAACGGCUCACCAAGGCUUCGAUGGGUAGCUGGUCUGAGAGGACGAUCAGCCACACUGGGACUGAGACACGGCCCAGACUCCUACGGGAGGCAGCAGUGGGGAAUCUUGCGCAAUGCGCGAAAGCGUGACGCAGCAACGCCGCGUGGGGGAAGAAGGCUUUCGGGUUGUAAACCCCUUUCACGUUGGACGAAGCUUCUUCGGUGAAUAGCCGAAUGGAGUGACGGUACCUUCACAAGAAGCACCGGCUAACUACGCGCCAGCAGCCGCGGU